GCUACUUGGGAGAGGGGAAGGUGUAAGUUUAUCUACUUCUCUUUUUGGUUUCUGAGCAAAAUGAAUGGAAGUAAAAGCUAACUAUGAAAAUGAUUUGAGUGUUUUAUUAGCUGGGAACUUGAAAGGAUGAACUUAAUUUUGGGCAAGGAAAGUGCUUUUAUCGAGUUGAACAAAGCAAGACACUCAAGAUACCCAGUACUUCUUGCAUUUUUGCAUCUCUCUGCAAUAAUAGAUUAUAGAUAUCGGGUAGCUCUUUAAUUUUAUGAUCAAAGAUUGGAAAGAAGUUCAUUGUUUAAUAAACCUGAGAAGCAAUAAGUUGGGAACUUAGUCCUCAUUUUGUGAAGUAUUCACUCAGUGCCAUUUUUGUUUAAGUCAUGAAAGUCUUUUUGGUCAGCCUUUCGUCAAAUGGAGAGAGAGAUUAAACUGACAUUUGUUUGUAUUUUAUCGAUCUGCAGGUCAGCAUGCUUAUCUAGCUGAGU
rnacentral:misc_RNA from 1 species